rnacentral:rRNA from 1 species
GCUCAGGAUGAACGCUGGCGGCGUGCUUAACACAUGCAAGUCGAACGAUUGAAGCUGGAGCUUGCUCCGGCCGAUUUAGUGGCGGACGGGUGAGUAACGCGUGGGUAACCUGCCUCAUACAGGGGGAUAGCAGUUGGAAACGACUGGUAAAACCGCAUAAGCGCACGGUGUCGCAUGACACAGUGUGAAAACACUCCGGUGGUAUGAGAUGGACCCGCGUCUGAUUAGCUAGUUGGUGAGGUAACGGCCCACCAAGGCGACGAUCAGUAGCCGGCCUGAGAGGGUGAACGGCCACAUUGGGACUGAGACACGGCCCAGACUCCUACGGGAGGCAGCAGUA